UGCGUAGGCGGCAUAAUAAGUCAGAUGUGAAAUCCCAGGGCUUAACCCUGGAGUUGCAUUUGAAACUGUGAUGCUUGAGUGCAGGAGAGGGAAGCGGAAUUCCUAGUGUAGCGGUGAAAUGCGUAGAGAUUAGGAGGAACACCAGUGGCGAAGGCGGCUUUCUGGACUGUAACUGACGCUGAGGCACGAAAGCGUGGGGAGCGAACA
rnacentral:rRNA from 1 species